rnacentral:rRNA from 1 species
GCUCAGGAUGAACGCUAGCUACAGGCUUAACACAUGCAAGUCGAGGGGUAGCAGGGUAGCAAUACCGCUGACGACCGGCGCACGGGUGAGUAACACGUAUCCAACCUUCCCAUAACUCAGGGAUAGCCUUUCGAAAGAAAGAUUAAUACCUGAUAGUACUUAAGAAAGGCAUCUUUUUUAAGUUAAAGAUUUAUUGGUUAUGGAUGGGGAUGCGUUCCAUUAGAUAGUUGGUGAGGUAACGGCUCACCAAGUCUUCGAUGGAUAGGGGUUCUGAGAGGAAGGUCCCCCACAUUGGUACUGAGACACGGACCAAACUCCUACGGGAGGCAGCAGUGAGGAAUAUUGGUCAAUGGGCGAGAGCCUGAACCAGCCAAGU